rnacentral:tRNA from 1 species
GUCGGCGUAGCUCAGGUGGUUAGAGCAUGGCACUCAUAAAGCCAAGGUCGGUGGUUCGACUCCACCCGUCGACACAA